rnacentral:tRNA from 1 species
GGGGAUAUGGCGAAAUUGGUAGACGCUACGGACUUGGGGAUAUGGCGAAAUUGGUAGACGCUACGGACUUAAAAUCCGUCGACUUUAGAAAUCGUGAGGGUUCAAGUCCCUCUAUCCCCA